UACGAAGGGUGCAAGCGUUAAUCGGAAUUACUGGGCGUAAAGCGCGCGUAGGCGGCUUUGCAAGUCGGGUGUGAAAUCCCCAGGCUUAACCUGGGAACUGCAUUCGAGACUGCAUCGCUUGAAUUGUGGAGAGGUGAGUGGAAUUCCGAGUGUAGAGGUGAAAUUCGUAGAUAUUCGGAAGAACACCAGUGGCGAAGGCGACUCACUGGACACAUAUUGACGCUGAGGUGCGAAAGCGUGGGGAGCAAACAGG
rnacentral:rRNA from 1 species